rnacentral:rRNA from 1 species
CCGAGAGAUCGGGCGUUCCCCUUCGGGGGACAGGGUGACAGGUGGUGCAUGGUUGUCGUCAGCUCGUGUCGUGAGAUGUGGUUAAGUCCCGCAACGAGCGCAACCCUCGACCUUAGUUGCCAGCAUUCAGUUGGGCACUCUAAGGUGACUGCCGGCUAAAAGUCGGAGGAAGGUGGGGAUGACGUCAAAUCAUCAUGCCCCUUAUGACCUGGGCUACACACGUGCUACAAUGGGCGGUACAAAGGGUCGCGAACCCGCGAGGGGGAGCCAAUCCCAAAAAGCCGCUCUCAGUUCGGAUUGCAGGCUGCAACUCGCCUGCAUGAAGCCGGAAUCGCUAGUAAUCGCGGAUCAGCAUGCCGCGGUGAAUACGUUCCCGGGCCUU